AGCGAACGCUGGCGGCAGGCCUAACACAUGCAAGUCGAACGAAGUCUUCGGACUUAGUGGCGGACGGGUGAGUAACACGUGGGAACGUACCUUUUGGUUCGGAACAACUCAGGGAAACUUGAGCUAAUGCCGAAUGUGCCCUUCGGGGGAAAGAUUUAUCGCCAUUAGAGCGGCCCGCGUUAGAUUAGCUAGUUGGUGGG
rnacentral:rRNA from 1 species